rnacentral:rRNA from 1 species
GAUGAACGCUGGCGGCGUGCCUAACACAUGCAAGUCGAGCGAAUGAAGUUCCUUCGGGAACGGAUUUAGCGGCGGACGGGUGAGUAACACGUGGGCAACCUGCCUCAUAGAGGGGAAUAGCCUUCCGAAAGGGAGAUUAAUACCGCAUAAGAUUGUAGUACCGCAUGGUACAGCAAUUAAAGGAGCAAUCCGCUAUGAGAUGGGCCCCGCGGCGCAUUAGCUAGUUGGUGAGGUAACGGCUCACCAAGGCGACGAUGCGUAGCCGACCUGAGAGGGUGAUCGGCCACAUUGGGACUGAGACACGGCCCAGACUCCUACGGGUGGCAG